rnacentral:tRNA from 1 species
CAUUAAGAAGCUACCCAGCGUUAACCUUUUAAGUUAAAGAUUGGAAGUUAAAUCUUCCCUUAAUGA